rnacentral:rRNA from 1 species
GCCGGUGGUGAUGCGCUUAGGGGACACACCCGUACCCAUCCCGAACACGAUGGUUAAGACCUAAGCGGCCGAUGGUACUGCACUGGAGACGGUGUGGGAGAGCAGGUGGCUGCCGGCU